AUCUCUCUAUCUCUCUUCCUCGCUCACUGUGUCUUUUCAUUUAAAUCAUCACUACAGUGAUUUUCCCGUAACACCUGGAGAGGCCUGACGGAUGGGUGCGCCUGUGCUAAUGCUGGCUGGGAGAACAAGGAAAACUAUACCGGCGAUGACCUGAAAUGUACAAAACAGCUGCAGGAGUGUGAGCAGCAGAGAGGCUCAGAUGCCAAACGGCUUACAGUAACCGUAUGGACUCGGACCAAACCCUCCAACACUCUCAGGUGUCACUGUGUCCCUUCAGCCAGUAAACAAGGCUGCGUGAUAUGUGAACUUGAGACUGUAGCAGACAUACACGGGUGCAGGCGUGCACACACACACACCCACACACACACACACAUACAUAUGUGGUGAGUAAGGGGUUUUAGGUCAUGAAUGACUGACGACGCCCAAGAUUUAUACCUACAGUGGGGGAAAAUAGUCCUUUAAGAAAAAUGAAGCUGUGCUACAAAACAGUUUGUCCACUGCGAUAAAGAUAUGUUCACCAAAACCACACAUCUGUGGACAUGGUGUUUUACUAUGAACAGAAAAGUAGUACUCACCCAAAGAAGGAAAGACAAGAGAGGGGAAGACAUAAGGAAAGAGGGAGAAUACAAUGAAAUAAUCAAGAAAAUAGGGAUCAAGGGUACAGCAACAUUAGCAAUACACACAGAGUAAGUACAUCAUUUUGGUAUGGACGUUUACCCAACACUAUCUCUAGAGGGCAGUGCCGAGCAGCAAGUUGUAGGCAUCGACAUAGCGACCCUUAAAAGGGGUUGUUUUUAUUGUGCUUGACUGAAACACAAGUGGAUUCUGUGGCGGUGGAAUGUAAGACCACGAGAUGUUAAGUUGUCCCGUUAAUGAAGAAUAUUAACUAUAGGUGUUGCCAAUGAGAGAGACUGACAACAAGGGGCAUUUUCAAUAAAGACUUUUGACAACUUCCUUCACCUGACAGACACUCUCAGUUUUCCGGCUGCAGGGGAUAAACCAGUGAGCUCUGGCAUUUAUAGUUGUUUCACCGCAGCUGUAGGUUGCUUCUUCCUGACUAAUCGGACGGUUGACUCCAUACUGCCCCCAUGAUUUCCAGUGGUAUUGCUCCAUUUCGUCUGUCAUCAUAAGCUCUCCUGCUUGUUGCACAAUGACGGGCAGAUGAAAGACUCCUUUUGUCUCCCUCUCUGUCUUUUUGACCAGAAGAGAAUAAAAUGAAGGACUAAAUAAUG